UGAUAAACAAUAUGUUAUAAAAUUUCCUGAUAAAUAAAUUAUCGUUGUUUUAUACUGAACGUGGUGGAAAACAAACCCACUUUUUAUGUAAUCAAUUGAUAUUUAUGAUAAGACAUUAAGAUACGAAGUACUCUUCAGUGUUGGUUAUACUAAACUUCUGACACAUCAAUCUAGCAAUACAUACAAAAAUCAAUAUAGGUUUGAAGAAGGCUUAUCUUGUUAAUUAAGACACAGAUUUAAUUAUAUAAGUAUCCUCUGUAGAAGUGUUUUAUAACUAAGAUAAUUAAUUAUUUAUUAAUUUAUGUCAUAAUCAAUACACAAUUCCCAAUUUAUAGCAUGUUUCAAGUAUGUGUGGUCAUGGGAAAAAGUAUUUUGGAUAAAUAAUCGAAAGAUAACCAAUAGCAAUAAGAUAAUAGUUAAGCAA
rnacentral:lncRNA from 1 species